rnacentral:rRNA from 1 species
GCGUAGGAACCUGCCCAGUAGUGGGGGAUAGCCCGGUGAAACCGGAUUAAUACCGCAUACGCUCUACGGAGGAAAGGGGGCUUCGGCUCUCGCUAUUGGAUGGGCCUGCGUGAGAUUAGCUAGAUGGUGGGGUAAUGGCCUACCAUGGCGACGAUCUCUAGCUGGUUUGAGAGGAUGAUCAGCCACACUGGGACUGAGACACGGCCCAGACUCCUACGGGAGGCAGCAGUGGGGAAUAUUGCACAAUGGGCGAAAGCCUGAUGCAGCCAUGCCGCGUGUGUGAAGAAGGCCUUCGGUUGU